rnacentral:rRNA from 1 species
AUUGAACGCUGGCGGAAUGCUUUACACAUGCAAGUCGAACGGCAGCACGGGGCAACCUGGUGGCGAGUGGCGAACGGGUGAGUAAUACAUCGGAACGUGCCCAAUCGUGGGGGAUAACGUAGCGAAAGUUACGCUAAUACCGCAUACGAUCUACGGAUGAAAGCGGGGGAUCGCAAGACCUCGCGCGAAUGGAGCGGCCGAUGUCAGAUUAGGUAGUUGGUGGGGUAAAGGCUCACCAAGCCGACGAUCUGUAGCUGGUCUGAGAGGACGACCAGCCACACUGGGACUGGGACACGGCCCAGACUCCUACGGGAGGCAGCAGUGGGGAAUUUUGGACAAUGGGCGCAAGCCUGAUCCAGCCAUUCCGCGUGCAGGAUGAAGGCCUUCGGGUUGUAAACUGCUUUUGUACGGAACGAAACGGCUCUCUCUAAUACAGGGGGCUAAUGACGGUACCGUAAGAAUAAGCACCGGCUAACUACGUGCCAGCCGCCGCCGUAACAC